UAAAAACAACAAUUAUUAAAUUAAAUUAUUACAUUGUAUUAUACCUGUUAGAAACUGUUUAAUCUUGAGUGUUUAUUUAAAACAAAUAUCAAGGACUUUUGAUUCUUUGUGGAGUGAUUUUUGAUUUUGCAGGGGGAAACUUAGAUGCAUUUAUUGAUUAAAAGAUCUGUUCAACUGGGAAGAAUUUCAAGCAGAACAACUUCACCAAGAUGUUAUGUAGCAUUUCUAGUUGGAAGUCCAGCAAUUUCAAUUACAGACAGGAAGAGAAGUUUACUUAUGAUAAUAACACAAAA
rnacentral:lncRNA from 1 species